AGGGUUUGAUUAUGGCUCAGGACGAACGCUGGCGGCGUGCUUAACACAUGCAAGUCGAACGGGAAGAAAAGAAAGAGCUUGCUCUUUUUUGGAAUCUAGUGGCAAACGGGUGAGUAACACGUAAACAACCUGCCUUCAGGAUGGGGACAACAGACGGAAACGACUGCUAAUACCGAAUACCUUCCAAUUUCCGCAUGGAGAUAGGAAGAAAGGGUGGCCUCUACUUGUAAGCUAUCGCCUGAAGAGGGGUUUGCGUCUGAUUAGCUGGUUGGUGAGGUAACGGCCCACCAAGGCGACGAUCAGUAGCCGGUCUGAGAGGAUGAACGGCCACACUGGAACUGAGACACGGUCCAG
rnacentral:rRNA from 1 species